UCAUUAUAUGUGUCACCAUUUAAC
rnacentral:siRNA from 1 species